AAAUUUCGAGCUUCGAAUUUAGGCUGGUGUACAUUUUGCAUAUAGAUGGAUGAUGAGGUAUUAAGAGAUGAGUAUGAGGAAGAAGCUGAAUGUUUGGAGGAUGACGAAGUGAGAAAUGGAAAUAAGAGGAAAAGAAAAAGUUCGAAAAGAGUGGGUAAUAAGGUAAAUGUUGUAUGAUUUGAAAAGUUGUAUAGUAAUUUUUUGAAAUGUAAUUGUAAAUAAUGAAGUGUGGUUGGAAGUUAAUAUAUUUUGGUGAUCAAAGUUCUUUUGGUACAAUGAAGUACUCGUUUUUGUAAAUUGUCAAUGAAAUACUUGAUUUUGUGAAUUGUCAAUGAAGUAUUCGGUUUUGUAAAUUGUCAAUGAAGUAUUCGGUUUUGUAAAUUGUCAAUGAAGUACUCUAUUUGCUAUACUCUAGUACAAUGAAGUACUCGAUUUUGUAAAUUGUCAAUGAUCGGACAAUAUUGAAUAUAUCUUUGCGUAUUUUAUGUU